UCUAUACAUGACUCUGCGCAUAUCAAUAAGCGGAGGAAAAGAAACUAACAAGGAUUCCCCUUAGUAACGGCGAGUGAAGCGGGAAGAGCUCAAAUUUGAAAUCUUCAAGGGUUCUACCUUGACGAAUUGUAGUUUAUAAGAAGUGUUUUCUGUUAGUAGAGGUGGCUAAAAGUUCUUUGGAAUAGGACAUCAUAGAGGGUGAGAAUCCCGUAUUUGAUCAUACUUUCUAACGUUGUGAUACACUUUCAACGAGUCGGAUUGUUUGGGAAUGCAGUCCAAAAUGGGUGGUAAAUUUCAUCUAAAGCUAAAUAUUGGCGAGAGACCGAUAGCGAACAAGUACCGUGAGGGAAAGAUGAAAAGAACUUUGAAAAGAGAGUUAAACAGUACGUGAAAUUGUCAAAAGGGAAGCGUUUGACACCAGUGUUGUUUUUCCGAAAAUCAAUUACGAAUGUUUUGUUUUUGAGAAGUUAUGACUUCAUCGGCUUGCUUCUCUCUUUACGAAACUUUCUUAAUGCACUUUUCGGUUAACAAGUCAACAUCAAUUUCUUUUGUUGUAAAAGGGUAUGAGGAAGGUGGCUUUCUUUUCGGAGAAAGUGUUUAUAGCCUUGUGACCUCUGCAAUCGGAGAGAUUGAGGUCUGCAGCGUAGAUCCUUCGGGGUUAGAUACAGUUUGUGCUAAGUUAUAGCUUUUUCAUAGACAACAUUGUUGACUAUGAUUAAGUCAUUGUAGCUUACUCGCUUAUGCUAUUUUACCUACGCUUAGGAUGUUGAUAUGCAUGACUGAUAU
rnacentral:rRNA from 1 species